GAUUCAGGAGCGACUAAUCACAUGACUCCUGACUUGGAAGCUCUUUCUGACGUUCAAGAAUAUUCUGGUAUGAAUAAUAUUACGAUUGGUAAUGGCUUAGGUUUAAAAAUUUCACAUAUAAAAACUGCUAGAUUAAAGUCAAACAGUGGAGAGAUUCCAUUAAGGAAUACUUUUUGUGUUCCUGACAUGAAAAUGAACUUGUUAUCUAUUUAAUCAAUGGCCAAGGAUUUAAAAUGUAGUUUCAUUUUAAAUGAAUCUGGAUUCAUUAUCCAAGAUAAUGAAAGCAGUGAGGAUUUAAUUAAGGGUAAAAACCAUGGAGGCUUAUACUAUCUAAACUCAUCAAACAUAUAUGAAACAAAGAAGUUGACAGCAACUUCUAAGUUAACAAUAAAUUCAACAGAAUUAUAGCAUAGAAGGUGUGGACACCCUUUAGAUCAAGUACUGUUAAAACUUUUAAAACAUCAUGAAAUUAAUCAUAAAAAUUUAAAACAAAAUUGUAUACAUUGUCCCCUAAAUAAAAUGAAAAAGAAGCCAUUUAGUUGUAGGAAAGAAUAUAGUAAUAUACCGUUGGAAAUACUUCAUAUAGACGUAUGGGGCCCAACUCCAACUUCAUCAAUCAAUGAAGAUAAAUACUAUCUCUUAAUUAUUAAUGAAUUCUCUAAAUUUUGUUAGUUCUUUCCCUAAAACAAAAGAUCAAGUAUUUGAAACUUUCAAAAGAUUUCAAAUAAUGAUAGAAAAAUCAUUAGAACACACUAUUAAAAUAAUACAAACAGAAGGAGGUGGGGAAUUUUGCAAUCAGAAAUUUAAAUUUUUUUGUAAUGAAUUAUGAAUUUUUCAUAAAUUCUCUUCACCUUAUACUCAUAAACAGAAUGGUCUUGUAAAAAGAAGACAUGACCAGAUAAUUGGAACAGUCAGGUAUUUUUUUUUACAAUCUGAAAUACUUAAACAAUAUUGGGCAACUGCUAUCUAUUCAAUAAAUAGACUUCCUUCAAACCAGUAGGUUUUAAAUCACCGUUUUCUGCGCUAUAUAUAUAACAAAGACUCAGAUUUAAGUUACUUAAGAGUGUUUGGAUCAUUAUGCUUUCCGCUGAUACCUAAGAAUUUUAGAAACAAAUUUGAACCAACAUCAAAUUAUUAUUGUUUUCUUGGAUACUCACUAAUGCAUAAAGCAUAUAAAUGUUUAAAACUUAAGGACUCAACAUUCAUCAUAUCUAGACAUGUUCGAUUCUAUGAAGAUGUUUAUCCAUUUAAAGAUUACAAAAUAAACACUUCAAAGAAAGAAAUCACGACAAAAGAAUUUUUACAUUCACCUAUAACAGGUAAUAGAGAUAUAGUCAUAGAACCAAAUACUCGAGUUCCGACCAGUCAACAUACAGAUCAUGAUAGUAACAACAUAGUUGAUGAGAACACACAGAUUGAAGAAAGUGUCAAUUCUGAAAACAAUAUUUCCGAACAACAAACGAUUUCAAGUAGUUUACCAAAUAGUACUUCUACAACAUCUGGAAAAAAUAACACAGAAGAGGUAUCUUCUGAAAACACAGUAGAAGUAGCACUUGAAAACACAGAUUCUGUUGAAACAAGUCAGUCGGUUCCCGUCUUAACUGUAAGAGAAUUUCAAAAUCACACAGAAGAGUUAAGGAGAACUCAAAGGUCUAUAACAUUCCCAAAGAAAUACAACAUUUAUGAAGUAAACUUAUCCAAAGCAUUGAUUGCUGAGGCAAUUGAAAACAACACCUCCCAAAAAUUUCAAAGAUGCCAUAAAAAUACCUCACUGGAAACAAGCUAUGGACGAAGAAUACAUGACGUUAAUAGAAAAUAAUACUUGGAAUCUAGUUCCACCAGAUAAGAAAGUAAAUUUAAUAGGAACCAAGUGGGUAUUCAAAAUUAAAAAGAAAGCUGAUGGAAGUAUAGAAAGAUACAAAGCCAGAUUAGUGGCGCAAGGUUUUAAACAAACUAAGGACAUAGAUUAUGGACUAAUCUAUAGUCCAGUUGUAAGUGUAGAAUCAAAAUUGUCGACAUAGGAUUAUAUUUUAAUCAUGUCAAUUUAAACCCUAAUUACACUAUUAAUCAAUAGGGGGUAAAUAAGUCAAUCGAUAUUAAACCUAACUCUAGUUAAUUAAUUAAUCAUUUGAGUUAAGGGUUUAAGUCAAAGUUAAAAGUUAAAUUGAGAGAAUUGCAUUUUCACCUUGAAUAUUAUUAUUUGGAAUAAUUGCAUGUUUACCUUGAAUAUUAUUAUUAUUAUUAUCUUUUGACACUUUAUUCAAGGUAUAAUAUUCCAAGGGGACAAAACACUAUUCAUGGUUGAAUUUAUACAAAGAUAAGAUUCUCCAACAAACUCUAUCCAAGAAAAGCACUAUUCAAGAUAAGAUCAAAGACAAAGCUUGGAUUUAUGUGAGAAAUCAAGGAGCCAUCCAUUGAAAAUCCAAGGGUGGACAUUGAGUGGCCAAGGCUAUAAAUAGAAGGGUAAUCCCCUCAUUUUCACUCACCACACUACAAGCAAACUCAAGAGCUUUCACUCCACACUUGCCCACACGUUUUUGCCUCCAAGCUUCCAAGCUUUCAAGUGCUCAAGUGUUCUAGCUUUCCAAAGCUUCAAAAGCUCUCCAACUUCUUCUUCUAAUCUUCUUGUUCAUCUUUACAAGUAAGAAGUGUUGUUUGCUUUAAUAUUCCACUCCUCUAAUCACUUCUUGUGUGUGUCCACUUUGGUUGAGAGGGUUGUCUCAAUAGUACCAAAGUGUUAGAGAAGGUUUGUGAGCUCAACCAUAAAGCUCUAGUUUGGUUUUAUAGAGUUUCCGGGAAAACUCUUAGGUUGAGUCUACCUUUAAAGAUUUCAGAGGUUUUUAAGAGUUCCUUGAUACUCUAAGGUACUAACUUACCCGUAAAAGUUAGAGGUUCUUAAGAGUGCCCUUGAUACUCUAAGGUGUGAGUCUACCCGUAAAAGACUGGUUCCUAAGCGAAGUAGCCUUAAAGCUUAGAGAGGUUUUUAAGAGUUCCUUGAUACUCUAAGGUACUAACUUACCCGUAAAAGUUAGAGGUUCUUAAGAGUGCCCUUGAUACUCUAAGGUGUGAGUCUACCCGUAAAAGACUGGUUCUUAAGCGAAGUAGCCUUAAAGCUUAGAAAGGUUUUGCCAUUACCUUUAGGCGAGUGAAUUCCGGCAGUUGGUCGGGACUGGACUAGCCCGUGUUUGGGUGAACCAGUAUAAAUCUCUUGUGUUGUUCUUUGUUAAUUAUAGUUCUAUCUUUUACUUAAAAACAACACUUAAUUAAAAAGAUCCCUCUUCCAGUUAUCUGGUCAAACACAGAGGUUGACUACUUUAUGCAGAUCCCUCAUCCAGUUAUCUGGUCAACUAUCUGAGGUUACAUUCAUUGUUUUAAAUCCUUAUAUUUGUUCAAGUAUUACUUAUCAUAUUUAUCCAGUUAUCUGGUCACUUACUUGUUUAUCAACUUAUCCAGUUAUCUGGUCACUUGCUUGUCAAUAUAUCCAGUUAUCUGGUCAUUUACUUGCGUAUCAAUAUAUCCAGUUAUCUGGUCAUUUACUCUACAAUACAAUUUGUGUUUCCAAUAUAACUUAGUAUUCAUAUACUAUAGUUGUGUUUGAAACACUAUCAAGCAAGUUGACUCAGUAUUCAUAUACUGUAGUAAGCUUCAAAGAGUAAUACUUACAUUAUUAUAUCAAUUAAAAUAAUAAUAUCCUUAUAUCAUUACUGUUCAACCAUUUGUUUAUUAAGCAUUUACAGGUAAUUCCGCUAUCAACCUGUAUAAAUCGAAAAGAGGCUAUCAUCCCCCCUUAUAGCCUCGGAUCACGAUCCAACAGUAAGAUCAUCAACAGUAAGAAUAUUAAUAUCACUUGUUAUAAAUAGAAAUUAUAAGUUAAGGCAAAUAGAUGUUAAAAAUGCCUUCUUAUAAGGAGAGUUAGUUGAAACUGUAUACAUAGCACAACCACCUGGCUUUGCUAAAAUAGAAUCUCCAGAUCAUAUAUGCAAGUUAAAUAAAACCAUUUAUGGGCUUAAACAAGCUCCUAAAUCCUGGUCCAAUAGAUUAAGAGACUUCUUAGUAUUAAAUGGGUUUUACAAUAGUCUCUCAGACUCAUCAUUAUUCACCUAUUUUAAAGAUAAUAUUUUAAUCUGGAUGGUUGUAUAUGUUGAUGAUCUAAUAAUAACAGGGAAUAACUUUAAUAAAACUGAGUUGUUCAUAAAACACUUAUGUAAGGAGUUUAAAUGUAGAGAUCUAGGAAUUCUAAAAUUUUUUAUUGGAUAGAAAUAAAAUACAACACUGAUGGUAGCAUAUAUAUGAAUCAAUCUAGGUAUGCCUUCAAUAUACUAUCAAAAUAUAAUAUGAUGAACUGUAAAUCUUGCAGUUCACCAGUAAUACCAAAUUCAAAACUAAAAAUGAAUGAUGGUGAAUUAGUCAAAAAUGUUACAAACUAUAGAGCCUUAGUUAGAUCUUUGCAAUAUCUAACUCAAACAAGACCAGAACUGGUUUAUGCAAUAAAUUAAGUUGCUCAAUUUGUUCAUGAGCCUAGAACAGGAUAUUUAGCGGCAGCUAAGAGAAUUCUGAGAUAUAUCAAAGGAACACUUAGUAAUGGACUACAUUUCACCAAAACGUCUAAAAAGAAUAAGAUUUUUGGGUACUGUGAUGCUGAUUUUGCAGGAGACCCAGACUCUAGAGAAUCGACAACAGGUUUAUGUGUUUUUAUUGAAGGAAAUCUGGUAACAUGGAUAUCUAAGAAACUGUAGAAAUAAGAUUCUCAAUGAUAUAUUUAGUUGUUAAUUAAUUUGAAGUAUAAUAAACCCUAAUUAACAAGAUAUAGAUAUAUAUGAGUUAAAGCUACAUGAAUAAAUCUAUUAGACUCAUAUAGAUAAAAUUGACUCGAUAUAUGAUUAAACUAAAAUGAGAUUAAGUAUUAAUUAUUUCCAUUAAACAAAUCUCUACUAUUGAUCAAGUUAAUUAUUGAAGCUUAUAUUUAAUUUUGCACACCUAUUUGCUUGCAUUAACUCUUGUUUCAAGUUGAUCAAUGUCUUAAAGGUUAAUCAACAAGGUGUGAAAGCUACAACUAUUUAUUCAAGCUUCAAAUGGACCCAAGGUGUAGAAAACGUGUAGAAGUGCAAUCAUGAGAAAUUCUAAGAGUAUAUUCAACAUAUUAACUACAAAGAUCUUGGAAUCAAUGUUAUACAAAAUCCUAGUUGAAGAGUUCAAAUUGGAGGAGUACAAAACGUGAGGAGGUUCAUUCUUCCAAAAUGUUAUACAAUCAUGACCUUGGAGUUAAAACUACACAAUCUCUUAAAAGAAAAUCCAAUCAUGAUCUUGGAUUUAAAUGCUACAUAAUCUCCCAAGAUGAGAUUCAAAUCCAAGUAAAGCUCCAAGCCUCCAACGUCUAUAUUCAAGCUCUUCUUCCUAGGAGUUUUGAAGAUGAAGAAAUUACCUCCAUGCCACUCACGUCUACUAUAUAAGGAGGUACACACCCAAGAGCCAAAGUCAUCACUUGCCAUCUUUGCUAAAGCUUUCCUUAGAUCAAAACUCUACUCUUUCUCUCUUGCUCAAGCUCUAGCUCUCGUUCAAGCUUUGUAUGGCAGUUGCUCUCAAGGUUGUGUGCUUAGUUCUUCAACUUCUUCUUUCCCUCUUGUAUGUUGAGAGUGUGUUAAAAGAAAAGCUCUACAUCUUGUAAGUGGUCCAAGUGUUGUGAGAGGUUUGUCUCAAUACCAACACUUGAAAGAUUCUACAAGUUCAACCAUAAAAAUCGGUGUGGUUCUAUAUAUAGAGUUUCCAGGAAAACUCUUAGGUUAAAUCUGUCUUAAAGGUUCAAGGGUUUUUAAGAGUUCCUUAAUACUCUUAGAGGGUUCACAAGCGUUUAGCCUUAAAACUUGGCAGAGGUUUUUAAGAGUUCCUUAAUACUCUUAGAGGGUUCACAAGCGUUUAACCUUAAAGCUUGGCAGAGGUUUUUAAGAGUUUCAGAAUACUCUUAGAGGGUUCACAAGCGUUUAGCCUUAAAGCUUAGCAGAGGUUUUUAAGAGUUCCUGAAUACUCUUAAGUGGUUCACAAGCGUUUAGCCUUAAAGCUUGGUAGAGGUUUUUAAGAGUUCCUGAAUACUCUUCGGUGGUUUACAAGCGUUUAGUCUUAAAACUUGGUAGAGGUUUCACCAUUACCUUCAGGCUAGUGAUCUCCGUGUUUUAUCGGAACUGGAUUAACCUUUGUUUGGGUGAACUAGUAUAAAAAGAAACUAAAAAGAUCUGUGUCUCUUUUUAUUUUCCUCUCCUUUAUUUUAAAGUUACAACAAGAUAAAAAGAAACUAAAAAGAGAUCCCUCAUCCAGUUAUCUGGUCAUAGAUUGAGAUUGACUAAUUUCUUGCAGAUCCCUCAUCUAGUUAUCUGCUCAUUGACUGAGGCUAUUUUCAGUUAAAAUAUAUAUCCAGUUACCUGGUCACUUAUAUUUACAUAUAUAUUUUAACUUAUUUUAAACGUGUGCUUAUAUCACAAGUCAGUAUUCACAUACUACAGUUGCUUAUAAAGUACAAUCUUAUAAGUGGACUCAGUAUUCAUAUACUGUAGUAAACUUACAAAGAACAAACAUCCUUUACAUAUAUAUCCUUGUGUUUAACUUGUAUUUUCAGAUAUUCCGUACAUCUUUUGAAAAAUUUCGAAAAUAGGCUAUUACCCCCCAAGCCUCUGAUCCAGAUCCAACAGAAACAAGAUACAAUAUCCAGAUCCAGUGCAGAAGCAGAAUAUAGAGCAUUAGCAACCCUAGCUGUAGAAAUUAGAUGGACAACAUUUAUCUGCAGAGACUUAUGUUUUCCAAUACAUUGUGUACCACAAUUAUUUUGUGAUAACAAGUCGACAAUUUUUAUGGCUAAAAAUUUAGUGAUUAAACAAAAAUCAAAACAUAUAGAAACGGAUAUUCAUUUUAUUAGGGAAUUAAUAUCUAAAAAAUCAUUUAAAAGUUGAACAUGUAUGUUCCGAAAACCAAUUGGCAGAUGUUUUCACUAAGACAGUAUCACAAAAUAUUUAUAUUAAUCUUUGUAGGUUAUUAAAAUUGAAAUUUCAUGUAUGAUUGACUGACUAUAUAUGGUUCAAACCCUAACUUGGAAUAUUUUGUGUGUAAAUUUUGUUUUUUUUUCCAGAUGAUUAAACUGGAUAAAUCACAAGUCAGGAUCUGAAACUGAAAUAAGCAGAAUUGUUUUUUUUUGUUUUGGUUUGACUCUCUCUUCCUUUUAAAAAAAGGAAUGACUGUGAAUAAUGAUGAGAAUAACAGGUGGACAGAUAAACAGGACAAAGGUUUUCCCAUAAUUAAAAGAAAAGAUACAAAAGAAUUAAGAAACACCCUGGGUUUUUAAUCCAUGUUCUGCAGUUCUACACUUGAAUAUUUAGUUACUACUAUUCCAAGAAUUAUUGAUUUAAAAGGGGGUAUUAGAAGUUAAAUCAUCAAUGUUAGUGUAGUAAAUAUGUAAUAGGUUAGUUAGGUAAACUCUCAAUCCUAUAAAAGGAUAUUUGAUAUUUUGUGAUAACAAAUCUUUUGGAUUGGAUACAAUUAGUGUAAAGUUUUUUUUGUGAAAUCUUACCGACUUACCGUUGACUAAGAAUAAAG
rnacentral:lncRNA from 1 species